rnacentral:rRNA from 1 species
UACGUAGGGGGCAAGCGAUACUCGGAAUCACUGGGCGUAAAGCGCAGGUAGGCGGUUUAGUAAGUCUGUUGUGAAAGCUCCCGGCUUAACUGGGAGAGGUCAACGGAAACUGCUAGGCUAGAGUGCGGUAGAGGUAGCUGGAAUUCCCGGUGUAGCGGUGAAAUGCGUAGAUAUCGGGAGGAAUACCUAUGGCGAAAGCAGGCUACUGGACCGUCACUGACUCUGAUCUGCGAAAGCUAGGGGAGCAAACAGG